rnacentral:rRNA from 1 species
AUUGAACGCUGGCGGCAGGCCUAACACAUGCAAGUCGAACGAGUGGCGGACGGAGAGUAAUAUCUGGGAAAAUGCCUGGUGGAGGGGGAACACUACUGGGAAAGGCAGCUAAUAACCCAUACCAACAGAUGUGCCCAGUUGGGAUUAGCUUGUUGGUGGGGUAACGGCUCACCAAGGCGACGAUCCCUAGCUGGUCUGAGAGGAUGACCAGCCACACUGGAACUGAGACACGGCCCAGACGCCUACGGGAGGCAGCAGUGGGGAAUCUUGCACACAGGACGCAAGCCUGAUGCAGCCAGGCCGCGUGUAUGAAGAAGGCUUUCGGGUUGUAAAGUUCUUUCAGCGGGGAGGCGUUACUCGAACAAGAAGCACCGGCUAACUCCGUGCCAGCAGCCGCGGUAAUAC